CGUUGAAGACUACGACGUUGAUAGGCCGGGUGUGUAAGCGCAGCGAUGCGUUGAGCUAACCGGUACUAAUGACCCGUGAGGCUUAACCUUACAACGCCAGAGGCGUUU
rnacentral:rRNA from 1 species